rnacentral:rRNA from 2 species
UUUUAUUAUGAGAGUUUGAUCCUGGCUCAGGACGAACGCUGGCGGCGUGCCUAAUACAUGCAAGUCGAACGCCUCUUUUCCCACCGGAGCUUGCUCCACCGGGAAAAGAGGAGUGGCGAACGGGUGAGUAACACGUGGGUAACCUGCCCAUCAGAAGGGGAUAACACUUGGAAACAGGUGCUAAUACCGUAUAACAAUCGAAACCGCAUGGUUUCGUUUUGAAAGGCGCUUUACGGUGCCGCUGAUGGAUGGACCCGCGGUGCAUUAGCUAGUUGGUGAGGUAACGGCUCACCAAGGCCACGAUGCAUAGCCGACCUGAGAGGGUGAUCGGCCACAUUGGGACUGAGACACGGCCCAAACUCCUACGGGAGGCAGCAGUAGGGAAUCUUCGGCAAUGGACGAAAGUCUGACCGAGCAACGCCGCGUGAGUGAAGAAGGUUUUCGGAUCGUAAAACUCUGUUGUUAGAGAAGAACAAGGGUGAGAGUAACUGUUCACCCCUUGACGGUAUCUAACCAGAAAGCCACGGCUAACUACGUGCCAGCAGCCGCGGUAAUACGUAGGUGGCAAGCGUUGUCCGGAUUUAUUGGGCGUAAAGCGAGCGCAGGCGGUUUCUUAAGUCUGAUGUGAAAGCCCCCGGCUCAACCGGGGAGGGUCAUUGGAAACUGGGAGACUUGAGUGCAGAAGAGGAGAGUGGAAUUCCAUGUGUAGCGGUGAAAUGCGUAGAUAUAUGGAGGAACACCAGUGGCGAAGGCGGCUCUCUGGUCUGUAACUGACGCUGAGGCUCGAAAGCGUGGGGAGCAAACAGGAUUAGAUACCCUGGUAGUCCACGCCGUAAACGAUGAGUGCUAAGUGUUGGAGGGUUUCCGCCCUUCAGUGCUGCAGCUAACGCAUUAAGCACUCCGCCUGGGGAGUACGACCGCAAGGUUGAAACUCAAAGGAAUUGACGGGGGCCCGCACAAGCGGUGGAGCAUGUGGUUUAAUUCGAAGCAACGCGAAGAACCUUACCAGGUCUUGACAUCCUUUGACCACUCUAGAGAUAGAGCUUCCCCUUCGGGGGCAAAGUGACAGGUGGUGCAUGGUUGUCGUCAGCUCGUGUCGUGAGAUGUUGGGUUAAGUCCCGCAACGAGCGCAACCCUUAUUGUUAGUUGCCAUCAUUUAGUUGGGCACUCUAGCAAGACUGCCGGUGACAAACCGGAGGAAGGUGGGGAUGACGUCAAAUCAUCAUGCCCCUUAUGACCUGGGCUACACACGUGCUACAAUGGGAAGUACAACGAGUCGCGAAGUCGCGAGGCUAAGCUAAUCUCUUAAAGCUUCUCUCAGUUCGGAUUGUAGGCUGCAACUCGCCUACAUGAAGCCGGAAUCGCUAGUAAUCGCGGAUCAGCACGCCGCGGUGAAUACGUUCCCGGGCCUUGUACACACCGCCCGUCACACCACGAGAGUUUGUAACACCCGAAGUCGGUGAGGUAACCUUUUUGGAGCCAGCCGCCUAAGGUGGGAUAGAUGAUUGGGGUGAAGUCGUAACAAGGUAGCCGUAUCGGAAGGUGCGGCUGGAUCACCUCCUUU